CUGAGCCCAAAUCUCCGUCUCUCUCCCAUUUCGGAUGCUCAGUUCUCACCUUAUGUUGGCGGGAUGGCAUUCUCUCCCACUUCAUCCCCUGGUUACAGCCCAUCAUCUCCUGGCUACAGUCCUUCAUCUCCUGGCUACAGUCCUACCUCGCCUGGUUACAGCCCUACAUCUCCUGGCUACAGUCCUACCUCGCCUGGUUACAGCCCCACAUCACCUACUUACAGUCCUAGUUCACCAGGUUACAGCCCAACAAGUCCAGCCUACUCUCCUACAAGUCCCUCUUAUUCUCCAACCUCACCAAGCUAUAGCCCUACCUCUCCAAGCUACAGCCCUACGUCUCCAAGUUACAGUCCUACUUCACCAAGUUAUAGUCCCACAUCUCCCAGCUAUAGUCCAACUUCACCAAGCUACAGCCCUACUUCACCGGCAUAUAGCCCAACUUCACCUGCAUACAGCCCCACUUCUCCAUCAUACAGCCCAACAUCGCCAUCAUACAGUCCGACAUCUCCUUCUUACAGCCCAACCUCACCCUCCUAUAGCCCUAC
rnacentral:lncRNA from 1 species